rnacentral:rRNA from 1 species
CUGGCUCAGGAUGAACGCUAGCGGCAGGCUUAACACAUGCAAGUCGAGGGGCAGCGAGGGUAAUAGCAAUAUUACCUGUCGGCGACCGGCGCACGGGUGCGUAACGCGUAUGCAACCUACCAUCAACAGGGGGAUAACACUGAGAAAUUGGUACUAAUACCCCAUAAUAUCUCAUGCGGCAUCGCAUGGGGUUGAAAACUCCGGUGGUUGAUGAUGGGCAUGCGUUGUAUUAGCUGGUUGGUGAGGUAACGGCUCACCAAGGCGACGAUACAUAGGGGGACUGAGAGGUUAACCCCCCACAUUGGUACUGAGACACGGACCAAACUCCUACGGGAGGCAGCAGUGAGGAAUAUUGGUCAAUGGACGCAAGUCUGAACCAGCCAUGCCGCGUGCAGGAUGACGGCUCUAUGAGUUGUAAACUGCUUUUGUACGAGGGUAAACCCCGAUACGUGUAUUGGGUUGAAAGUAUCGUACGAAUAAGGAUCGGCUAACUCCGUGCCAGCAGCCGCGGUAAUACGGAGGAUCCGAGCGUUAUCCGGAUUUAUUGGGUUUAAAGGGUGCGUAGGCGGUUUGAUAAGUUAGAGGUGAAAUGUCGGGGCUCAACCCCGAAACUGCCUCUAAUACUGUUGGACUAGAGAAUAGUUGCGGUAGGCGGAAUGUAUGGUGUAGCGGUGAAAUGCUUAGAGAUCAUACAGAACACCGAUUGCGAAGGCAGCUUACCAAACUAUAUCUGACGUUGAGGCACGAAAGCGUGGGGAGCAAACAGGAUUAGAUACCCUGGUAGUCCACGCAGUAAACGAUGAUAACUCGUUGUCGGCGAUACACAGUCGGUGACUAAGCGAAAGCGAUAAGUUAUCCACCUGGGGAGUACGUUCGCAAGAAUGAAACUCAAAGGAAUUGACGGGGGCCCGCACAAGCGGAGGAACAUGUG